AGCCUUGCGCAGUGGCGAUACAGUAACCAAUGAGGUUCAUCCGAGGUGCUGUUAUUGCUAGUUGAAAACUUUUACCAAUACCCCGCUUGGGGGACUGGUAACAGUCCGCUAAGCAAUUUUUGGAAGCCCCCACGGGGG